AAAGCUGGGUCUGAUGUGCACC
rnacentral:miRNA from 1 species